UACAGAGGUCUCAAGCGUUGUUCGGAUUCAUUGGGCGUAAAGGGUGUGUAGGUGGCGCCGUAAGUCGGGUGUGAAAUUUCGGAGCUUAACUCCGAAACUGCAUUCGAUACUGUGGUGCUUGAGGACUGGAGAGGAGACUGGAAUUCAUGGUGUAGCAGUGAAAUGCGUAGAGAUCAUGAGGAAGACCAGUGGCGAAGGCGGGUCUCUGGACAAUUCCUGACACUGAGACACGAAGGCCAGGGGGGCAAACGGG
rnacentral:rRNA from 1 species